ACUGUGUCACAAGAGACUCUCCUGGAAAAGGCACUCUUGAAACUGGUCAAUAUAAGGAAAGCUGUUCAGCAGGUAGGACAUGGAGGUUCUCAGUGACAUCAUCAUCAUUAGGUCCUUCCCGAAAAAUAUCUUGUAACCUGGAGAGCCCUAGCUCCUUCUGUGAGGUCAGAAGUGUUGUUGUGACACCACCUGCUUCUCAGAUAUUCCUUCAGUACAUCUAGGGUUUGUAACUGGCCUUUAAUUCAGAGUAAACAGCCAUUUUUUAGGGAGAGCAAAGAGGAUGAAAGGAUCCAAGAAGAGGAGAAGGAAGCUGCCCUUCUGUCAUGGUAUAAAAAAGGAAGAAAUACAUGGUCCACUGGAGAGCUCAGUGAAUCCUGGGAACCUAUUGAGGUUGAUGUUUAACUGGACCUCAAGCCAUUCCUCUCACUGCCCAUCCUCCUAAGUAUGAUGUAUGGCCUGAAGAAAUAAUCAUGGUGGGAACACAGCUUUUCUGAUGUCUCGAAAUUUUUGGAUAAACUAAGGAUUUGGAAGUUCAUCAUUGGAAAAAAUUUUCAUCAAAGGAGCAAGAAAUUCUUCAUAACUUCAACACAACAUGGCCUUUGGGAACAGAAUAAAACACAAAUAAGGAAAGGCGGAAAAUGAUUGACACAUGCACUGUUCUUGGUUUGAAAUUUAACAAUCAUGCUAGUUAUAGGAUACAGCUUUGAAAUUAGAGUCAAUGAGAGUUUGAAAAAUACUGAGGAAGAGUAGGUAAAUUGAAUUCUUGCUACAUGAAAGAAAACACUGGAUCUGAAGGUAAGGUACAUUUUAGAUGAUGACACUCGUCUUCUGCCACUAUUUAUUCAAUGCUUUUGUA